UAACACUCUGGUUCGGCCAAAUUUACGGGAUUCGGCCGAAGAAGUGCGCGAAUAGGGAGAAAGUUACCUUCACUUCCAGCGAGCUCCUCUGCUUGCUUCCGAACAAAAUGUCGUAACCUCCAAUCCGACAGGAAAGGCGAGGCGUCGGAGGAGCAAAGUCGCUCAGCCACGAAGGAACGGCGGAAGAGGGAAAGUUCCUGCACAGCGAGCGAGCUCCCGGUCUUGCCUCCGAUCCAACAGAAGGGUAAGUCGUUGGGGUGAGCGAAGUCGACCGGAGACGGAGGAGCCGAAUAGGGAGAUAGUUACCUCCUCAGCGAUCGAGCUCCAAUCGUUGCUUCCUAUCAAAUGUUGUAACUUCCGACCCCGCAGGAGGGAAGUCGUCGAAUGGAGAAAUCGAACGGCACUGGAGGAGGGGUCGGAGAUGGGAUGAGUUAUUGGGUCAGGUGACCGGAGGCGACGUGGGGGAUGCGACGUCGAUGGUGCGAGCGACGUGCGACCUGCUUCGACGACGUGUGGAGAUGUCCGGGCAGUGAACUUGCCCACAACUCGCAUGCCACCGAUGUCAACAACAGGUCCCAAGAUAACACUAGAGAUUCUGUCAAGGGAUCUCUUGUGUACUAUCCUUGCAUGAUCCGAAACAAGAUUCCAAGCAAGCAAUUCGAUGAUGAUUCAAGUCAACAAAGAAAAAAAUUUGUUUGGCCCGCUCCAAAAUCCAACGGUCCUAGUUCACUGAUAAAUGAUGAUCAUUUAACCCAAAGAAAAAUAUUCAACCAACAGAAGGCAUAUUACUCAAACAAGGGUGCUUUAGUUGCACCUAAACAGGGUAUGGGAGCUUGGGUUUGACCCGACUCAUAUUUGUAGCCCUAGGUUGUGCCAAACGAAGGAAAGGAGAGAUGUGCAGUUUAAGGUUGGGGACAUGAUUUAUUUGAAGAUCUGACCUUCCAGACAAAGGACUUUGACUCAAUGAAGGAAUGAGAAGCUCUCCCCCGCUACUUUAGGCCCUACGAGGUAGUAGAGCGCAUUGAAUCAGUAGCAUAUCGCCUGUGAUUGCCACCGACUUCAGUCAUCCAACCCAUAUUUCAUGUAUCACAACUGAGACAAGCCAUUGGAAACCACACAACCUCGCCCCGCACUACUGAUAACACUGUCAGAGAAUAUGGAGGUGAAAGGGGUGCGCCAAGGAGAUAAGGGGAUCAAGGAGAUGCUAAUCUAGUGGAAGGAUUUACCAAAAUAUGAGGCGACAUAAGAACCCUACAGUACUAUUCAGAAGCAAUUUCCCUUUUUUGAACUUGAGGACAAUGUGACUCUUUGGGAUGAGAGUAUUGAUGCAGUUGGCAGCAAUAGUCUUGUUGUCCAUGUGAGGCCUAGAACCUCCUUUAUCACCUAUAGAAGAAGAGGUUCUGGGAGGAAACUCUUUGGGAAAGGGGGGACUCUUUGGGAAAGAUGUAAGGGGCAUUUAUUAGGGGAUUUGAGCUGUUUAAGAGGGGAGAUUAUGGUGGGUUAGGGUUUUUUAUGUGAUAUUUGAAAUUUCUGCAGCAGUUUUUGUGAGGUGUUUGGGUUCCUAGUAGCUGCUAGUAAUUGUGGGAGAGACGAUUCACCUCUCGAACAGUGAAUCAACUUGUAUCUUGUCUUACUUUGCUUGCAAAUUUGUAAAAACAGCUCUCUUUGUGUUAUUUCUGGAUCUAUUGGAAAUAAGUUGUUGUUUUUUAUAUUGUCAUACGUUGUUUUGAUCAUUAAGACCUAUCACUCGGCCACUCCAUCGCUUGGCAAGACACUGGCCGAAUGAAUGCCCAAGAAACCCUUCCACUUUGUUAAUUACUUGUGUAUCUUCUUUAAUUUUCUUAUCUUUAUCUUUUUAAUUUGUUAGGGUACCUAAGGCACUAUAUUAUUUAGAUAUUCUCUAUGGCUUGUACUCUUGGUCUCAAAAAUCUAUUUUUGAACACUAGUAUUAGUUUUAUGUCUUAUUUUAAAAUUUAUGUUCCUAUGGUUUUAUAUUUUAACAAUCUUAAAAAUAUCACUCUUUAAUGCCUACUUGAAUUGUUAGUCAUGCAUUUUGUAGAUUCAUAUAUUGAUCCUUAAAUUUAAUAUUGAUCAUACUAUUAUUAUUGCAUUGUUUCAUAUAUCUUUUUGUUCAUUUUUAUUAUCAGAUUAAGCUUUAAAAACACAUCCAAUCAUCAUGUUAAGUUCCUCGUUAAAUCUCAUAAUCAUUUAAAUCCUAUAUCUUGAAAAUAACACUCAAACAGUUAACCAAAAUUUAACUCAAUUUAAUAGAUAACAUUCCAAACAAUAGUAAAGAUGUAAUACUUUUAGGAUUUAGUAAAUCCUACUUGUAGUCAAACAGCCCCCAAUCUCAGUAUGACUUAUUAAAAAAUAAAUGUUUGGAUAAAAAUGAAUAAACAUUUUCAUUCAUCACAAAAAAAAAAAAAUCAAUCUUUAGAAUACAAAAAGUGAUCCUUCAAAAGCAGCAAGAUCACACUGACAGCUAGAAGCAUCAUACAAUUAUAGCACAUCGCCAAUAAUACAAUUUCAUAUUUUCAAAUAAUAAUAGCCCAUUUUCCAGGAAAAAAACCUUCAUCUGAUAAACAAGGCGUUGCGUCGAACAAUCCGAAGCAGCAUUACUUCCACUUUGUCCAACCAAGCCAGAAGAAAUAAAGGGCAAAAAAACUAAAUAAAAGAACAAAGAAUUUCAACCUUGCUCAUUCCAAUCAAUCUCAUCGCCUAAAAUGAAGCCAAUAAAAAAAUAUUACAAUUAACAAAACAACAUGAGAAAUGGAAAAAUCGCAAUAUUCUCCCAAUUGUCAGACAGACUAAAAGCAGCAGAGCCCUCUUGGAUCCAAACAAAGACAGAUACAGUAUAAAAAAAAAAA